AGAGGCAGCAAGAACAAAGAGCCUCGAGCUACUCAAAAGAAAGCCGAGCCUCCGGGGGAAAAACGGCCCAGAGGACGACCAAGGAAAUGGCCUCAACGACCAGCACAAGAAGAGGAGA